rnacentral:rRNA from 1 species
GAUGAACGCUGGCGGCGUGCCUAAUACAUGCAAGUCGAGCGAACGGACGAGAAGCUUGCUUCUCUGAUGUUAGCGGCGGACGGGUGAGUAACACGUGGAUAACCUACCUAUAAGACUGGGAUAACUUCGGGAAACCGGAGCUAAUACCGGAUAAUAUUUUGAACCGCAUGGUUCAAAAGUGAAAAACGGUCUUGCUGUCACUUAUAGAUGGAUCCGCGCUGCAUUAGCUAGUUGGUAAGGUAACGGCUUACCAAGGCAACGAUGCAUAGCCGACCUGAGAGGGUGAUCGGCCACACUGGAACUGAGACACGGUCCAGACUCCUACGGGAGGCAGCAGUAGGGAAUCUUCCGCAAUGGGCGAAAGCCUGACGGAGCAACGCCGCGUGAGUGAUGAAGGUCUUCGGAUCGUAAAACUCUGUUAUUAGGGAAGAACAUAUGUGUAAGUAACUGUGCACAUCUUGGCGGUACCUAAUCAGAAAGCCACGGCUAACUACGUG